rnacentral:rRNA from 1 species
AGAGGGUGCAAGCGUUAAUCGGAAUUACUGGGCGUAAAGGGCGUGUAGGUGGAACUGUAAGUCAUGUGUGAAACCCCUGGGCUCAACCUAGGAAGUGCAUAUGAUACUGCAGAUCUAGAGUACGGUAGAGGGAAGUGGAAUUUCCGGUGUAGCGGUGAAAUGCGUAGAUAUUGGAAGGAACACCAGUGGCGAAGGCGGCUUUCUGGCCCGAUACUGACACUGAGGCGCGAAAGCGUGGGUAGCGAACAGGAUUAGAUACCCUGGUAGUCCACGCUGUAAACGAUGAGUACUAGCCCGUUGGCGGCCCCAAGAGGGCUGUUAGUGGCGCAGCAAACGCGAUAAGUACUCCGCCUGGGAGUACGACCGCAAGGUUA